CCCUUUUGGUUAAGUAGCUAUCAAACCAAACAAAAUUGAAUGGCUUUCGCUGUCGCUUUCCUUCAACUCCACUUUCUUAGGUGGCUAAAGCAGCAAGGAGUGUUGCUGGUCCAACUCGUAUUAGCUAUCGAGAGCCGUACUUACCUUCCCGCUCGCCACAAGUAAUCGCUACAGAAAGCACCACAGCCACAGGCACAGUAACCGGAACAGCAACUGGUCUUUUCUCACUCUCCCUGUAGUCAAGACGGACGUAGGGAGUAUUAUGACCGGCUUCACUGACGUCUGCUUUCGUCUCUCGUCCUUCGCUCGCUAUGCUUCCUAGUAGGUAUGAUGCCCAGCAACAGGCGCACAAGUAGAACUAGGCUUAUUGGUCCACUGGUUGUAGCAACAGGAGCUGGAGCAGGUCGUCGAAGAGCCUAUUACUCGCUCUCGUAUGUAUAUAGCUAUCGUCGCGUAUAUUUUUUGUAACUCCCCUCUGGUUAGCAAGCAACUGUAACCUUACCUUCGAAAGGGGAAGCCUACUCAUCCAUAAGCUCCUACUCUUCCUAACUUGACCUUCUCGAGCUGCCUGGCACAAGAGCAAGCGCUGUACUCCAUCCGCACCCGUCCCUGCCACCCGCCACAGAAAGAGCUACACAAGCAUAGUAACCUUCGAGCGGAAUACGCGAGCCCAGUGAGUUGAAUAGGAAAGAAAGUCCUCGAGAAGGGAUUGAUGGAUCGUUUCACUUGCUACUCAUAUUGGUGGAAAAUGAAGAAAACCAGAUCUCACUCGCAAGAUGCUAUUGAAAAACUGCUUGAAACUAUUCCCUUUGACGAUUGAAUCAACCUUUAUGGUCCCAUAUUUAGUACUUCCUGAACUGAGAAAAACGAUUUUCAUGGUCACUAACACCGAGUUCAGUCCCUCACGGGUUAAAGCUUUAGCCGGCGACUCAUAGGCCCAACUUN
rnacentral:lncRNA from 1 species